GACGAACGCUGGCGGCGUGCCUAAUACAUGCAAGUUGAGCGCUGAAGGUUGGUACUUGUACCAACUGGAUGAGCAGCGAACGGGUGAGUAACGCGUGGGGAAUCUGCCUUUGAGCGGGGGACAACAUUUGGAAACGAAUGCUAAUACCGCAUAAAAACUUUAAACACAAGUUUUAAGUUUGAAAGAUGCAAUUGCAUCACUCAAAGAUGAUCCCGCGUUGUAUUAGCUAGUUGGUGAGGUAAAGGCUCACCAAGGCGAUGAUACAUAGCCGACCUGAGAGGGUGAUCGACCACAUUGGGACUGAGACACGGCCCAAACUCCUACGGGAGGCAGCAGUAGGGAAUCUUCGGCAAUGGACGAAAGUCUGACCGAGCAACGCCGCGUGAGUGAAGAAGGUUUUCGGAUCGUAAAACUCUGUUGGUAGAGAAGAACGUUGGUGAGAGUGGAAAGCUCAUCAAGUGACGGUAACUACCCAGAAAGGGACGGCUAACUACGUG
rnacentral:rRNA from 1 species